rnacentral:rRNA from 1 species
CCUACGGGGGACUGCAGUGGGGAAUAUUGCACAAUGGGGGAAACCCUGAUGCAGCGACGCCGCGUGAGUGAAGAAGUAAUUCGUUAUGUAAAGCUCUAUCAGCAGGGAAGAAAAUGACGGUACCUGACUAAGAAGCCCCGGGUAACUACGUGCCAGCAUCCGCGGUAAUACGUAGGGGGCAAGCGUUAUCCGGAUUUACUGGGUGUAAAGGGAGCGUAGACGGCAGUGCAAGUCUGGAGUGAAAGGCGGGGGCUCAACCCCCGGACUGCUCUGGAAACUGUACGGCUGGAGUGCAGGAGAGGUAAGUGGAAUGCGUAGUGUAGCGGUGAAAUGCGGAGAUAUUAGGAAGAACACCAGUGGCGAAGGCAGCUUACUGGAGUGUAACUGACGUUGAGGCUCGAAAGCGUGGGGAGCAAACAGGAUUAGAUACCCGUGUAGUC